rnacentral:misc_RNA from 1 species
UGGUGAACCAGCGGAGGGAUCAUUAUAGAGUUUUCUAAACUCCCAACCCAUGUGAACUUACCUUUUGUUGCCUCGGCAGAAGUUAUAGGUCUUCUUAUAGCUGCUGCCGGUGGACCAUUAAACCCUUGUUAUUUUAUGUAAUCUGAGCGUCUUAUUUUAAUAAGUCAAAACUUUCAACAACGGAUCUCUUGGUUCUGG